rnacentral:SRP_RNA from 1 species
GCCGGGCGCAGUGGCGGGCGCCUGUAAUCGCAGCUACUUGGGAGGCUGAGGCAGAAGAAUUGCUUGAACCCAGGUGGCAGAGUCUGCAGUGAGCCGAGGUCACACCACUGCACUCUAGCCUGGGCAACAGAGCAAGACUCUGUCUCAA